rnacentral:rRNA from 1 species
AACUCCUACGGGAGGCAGCAGUGGGGAAUAUUGCACAAUGGGGGAAACCCUGAUGCAGCCAUGCCGCGUGUGUGAAGAAGGCCUUCGGGUUGUAAAGCACUUUCAGUAGGGAGGAAGGUAGUGUAGUUAACACCUGCAUUAUUUGACGUUACCUACAGAAGAAGCACCGGCUAACUCCGUGCCAGCAGCCGCGGUAAUACGGAGGGUGCGAGCGUUAAUCGGAAUUACUGGGCGUAAAGCGCAUGCAGGCGGCCUGUUAAGUUCAGAUGUGAAAGCCCGGGGCUUAACCUCGGAAUUGCAUUUGAAACUGGCAGGCUAGAGUCUUGUAGAGGGGGGUAGAAUUUCAGGUGUAGCGGUGAAAUGCGUAGAGAUCUGAAGGAAUACCAGUGGCGAAGGCGGCCCCCUGGACAAAGACUGACGCUCAGAUGCGAAAGCGU